rnacentral:rRNA from 1 species
UACGAAGGGGGGCUAGCGUUGCUCGGAAUCACUGGGCGUAAAGCGCACGUAGGCGGCUUUUUUAAGUCAGGGGUGAAAUCCUGGAGCUCAACUCCAGAACUGCCUUUGAUACUGAGAGCUUGAGUCCGGGAGAGGUGAGUGGAACUGCGAGUGUAGAGGUGAAAUUCGUAGAUAUUCGCAAGAACACCAGUGGCGAAGGCGGCUCACUGACCCGGUACUGACGCUGAGGUGCGAAAGCGUGGGGAGCAAACAGG